rnacentral:rRNA from 1 species
UUUUCCUACGGGGGGCAGCAGUAGGGAAUUUUCGUCAAUGGGCGCGAGCCUGAACGAGCGAUGCCGCGUGAGUGAAGAAGGCCUUCGGGUCGUAAAGCUCUGUUGCGGGGGAAAAAAGGCAGCAUCAGGAAAUGGGUGCUGACUGAUGGUGCCCCGCCAGAAAGUCACGGCUAACUACGUGCCAGCAGCCGCGGUAAUACGUAGGUGGCGAGCGUUAUCCGGAAUGAUUGGGCGUAAAGGGAACGCAGGCGGUCUUUU